rnacentral:tRNA from 2 species
GCCGGGAUGGCGGAACUGGUAGACGCAGCGGACUCAAAAUCCGCCGGUAGUGAUACCGUGGGGGUUCGAUUCCCCCUCCCGGCACCA